CUAUGACACACUGGGACAUUGUUUUUUCCUUGAGGAUGGGACUGAACAAAGGAACACUCUGUACCACAACCUUGGACUUGUCACCAAACCCAACACGCUCUUGCCCAUGGACAGGAAUGACACUAUGUGCACUUCCAUCAGGAACAAAGUUUAUGGAAACUACAUCCCAGUGCCAGCAACUGACUGCAAGAGACACUCAUGGACUGGCCCCUGACAAAAAGGCAGAACUCACCCCUCUAGGGAUAUUCUACAACAACAGAGUGCAUUCCAACUUCAAGGUUCCGUCCUCAUGUAGACACUGACCCAAAGAAACCUUGUGAUGCUGCUCUCAUUGACAGCUUGGUAUCCUUCAAGAACAAUGACCUGGGUGCUUGGGUCAGAGGAGGAGACAUUCUUAUUAAGAACUCUGUUUAUGGAAGCGUCCCAAAAGACGUAGGCUCAAGCCAGGAAGUGUCUGCAUCGCUGUUCAUUGGGGAAAGCAAGAACUAUGGAACUAACGGCGGGAAGAACAAGUACUGGGGAGCAGGAGGCAGCGAGAACAAAAUCAAGACUCUUCCUAGGAACAAAGCACGAUCCGGAGCUGCAGCCGCAGGCCAGCGUAAAACC